rnacentral:misc_RNA from 1 species
UUGGGCGGGUGAGUGGUGUUUGGAAUGUGGGAUAGUAGGGUCUGUGCUCUUUGCNUCGAACUACUAGACUACAUCCCUUUUCAUGGCUCAAGCUUUGCUUGUUGCUCGAUAGUGUUCCUGUAUUUGAUACCCAUGUUGGUGGAACUACACUUUUGGUUAUCUCAAUCCUCUUGGUGCCUCGUUGGGGCAUCGGGUGGAGCACUUAGUUUUGGUCUGCCAAACCGAGCAUGCCGUUGCGGUUGCGACGGUUGUUGGAUCAAAGCUGUGCUCUCGGAUGCAGAAUAUUCAGUGGGUCCAAGGAUUGUAUCCUUGUAUUCGCCCUAUGCGGGAAAUCGUCCCUUGAUAUGAACGACAUCCUUUGUGUGCCACGAUUUAUCCAAAGCUCACUCGGGUAGAGGAUAUUUUGUGCGUGCAUCGGUGUCUUCGAAGGAAUGCUACCUGGUUGAUCCUGCCAGUAGUCAUAUGCUUGUCUCAAAGAUUAAGCCAUGCAUGUGA